UACGGAGGGUGCAAGCGUUAUCCGGAAUUAUUGGGCGUAAAGGGCCCGCAGGUGGCUAAGCAAGUCAGUUGUCAAAGCGUGGAGCUUAACUCCGUAAGGGCAAUGAAAACUGAUUGACUAGAGUACAGUAGGGGUUGCGGGAAUUUCCUGUGUAGCGGUGAAAUGCGUAGAUAUAGGGAAGAACACCAGCGGCGAAGGCGCGCGACUGGACUGAGACUGACACUGAGGGACGAAAGCGAGGGGAGCGAACGGG
rnacentral:rRNA from 1 species